CACGUUACAGACAGUUGCAGCAACGGGCCGGGAAUUUGGCUACACAGAUUCAUUACAUUCCUUAAUAUGCCAGUCACUAUUUUUGCAGCCAACUACUGCACACGUCUUCAAUCCACAUUAUUCAAUCUGGCAUGAUAGAGCAUAGUGCGUUAGCAAAAACUCAGUUGCAUUUCCGACAACUGAUCUCACAGAAGCAAGGUGGAAGUGGUAAUGGUUUCAUAUUCGUGCCCCGUUGCUGAGGCAACUGCCGCAUGCCGCCGAAGGCGCCAUCUCGUUUCUCUAGAACAAUCUGCCCUGCGAAAAGGAUCAAUACAAUUAGAAAGCCUGCGGUUUUGCCAAGAUUGCUUCAUGGGUGCAUAUACUGUACUACUCAUUAAGUAUAAAAUAUUUCGUCAGUGAAAUUUCAGUGCACUUAGCUGUAACAGUUUUGCUGUAAAAGGUGGUAUCGAUGUCAAUGAAGAUAACCAAGUAAAUUCUGAUUCCUCGACAGCAGUUUUAAAGAAACGUCAAUGUGCGCGGGUGGUACUACGGAAUCUGAUGUUCAGCCGGUCACCGAAGGACGCAAUCGAUUGGUACCGCAUCCACCACCAGCUAAUGCCCAACACGCUCUUCAUCGAGGACAGAAUGGACAUCGGCCAGCAGGUGUACCUGCGCUUCCGGUCUCAUGACGUGCAGUCGCUACCGCAUUGGGCCGGCACCGUGGUGGCCGUGACACAAAAGGAUGGGCGCAUCUACGCCACGUACGAUUUCCGCGACAACUCACUGUCAGACACCAUCGUCGGCGAGUGACCAACGCCAGGCUACCUUGCUGGUGGUCGUCGACAGCACUUGGAUGGGACUGCAUUCGCCUACUAGCGAAGCCUACAUUGAGCUUUAACACUGAUCAACUACUGUAAAUGGUUUGCAUGGACAUAUUUUGAACCUUUCUAGUGAAAUGUGCAUCCAGAAUUAUUUUUAAAAAUUCUGUUUGCAGGGAUGUAUUAUUUUCUUUGACAUCUAAAAUAUAGUUUAUAUGAUAUAAAUAUGCUGCAUGUGCAGAAUUUGCAGAAUUUCUGCUUAUUGCCUUUAUAAAGAGCCUCAUGGUU